rnacentral:rRNA from 1 species
UACGUAGGGCGCAAGCGUUAUCCGGAAUUAUUGGGCGUAAAGAGCUCGUAGGCGGUUAGGCGCGUCUGCCGUGAAAGUCCGGGGCUCAACUCCGGAUCUGCGGUGGGUACGGGCAGACUAGAGUGAUGUAGGGGAGACUGGAAUUCCUGGUGUAGCGGUGAAAUGCGCAGAUAUCAGGAGGAACACCGAUGGCGAAGGCAGGUCUCUGGGCAUUAACUGACGCUGAGGAGCGAAAGCAUGGGGAGCGAACAGG